rnacentral:rRNA from 1 species
GUCAGCUCGUGUCGUGAGAUGUUGGGUUAAGUCCCGCAACGAGCGCAACCCCUAUCUUCAGUAGCCAGCAUUUUGGAUGGGCACUCUGGAGAGACUGCCAGGGACAACCUGGAGGAAGGUGGGGAUGACGUCAAAUCAUCAUGCCCCUUAUGGCCAGGGCUACACACGUGCUACAAUGGCGUAAACAAAGGGAAGCAGCCGUGUGAAUGUGAGCAAAUCCCAAAAAUAACGUCUCAGUUCGGAUUGUAGUCUGCAACUCGACUACAUGAAGCUGGAAUCGCUAGUAAUCGCGAAUCAGAAUGUCGCGGUGAAUACGUUCCCGGGUCUUGUACACACCGUCCGUCACACCAUGGGAGUCAGUAACGCCCGAAGCCGGUGACCUAACCGAAAGGGAGGAGCCGUCGAAGGUGGGACCGAUAACUGGGGUGAAGUCGUAACAAGGUAGCCGUAUCGGAAGGUGCGGUUGGAUCACCUC